CCCCUGUGCAAAUGCCCUAACCCCCCGCCCGAGGAUUAGGAGCUGGUAUCAGGCACACCUAUUAAAGCCCAUAACACCUUGCUAAGCCACACCCCUAAGGGAAUUCAGCAGUGAUAGACAUUAAGCCCUGAGUGAAAACUCGACUAAGUUAAAGCUAACAGAACCGGUUAAUCUCGUGCCAGCCACCGCGGUUAUACGAGAGGUUCAAGUUGACACCCACCGGCGUAAAGCGUGGUUAGGUGAACCCCUCCCCCCCCCACUAAAGUCGAACGUCCCCCUCGCUGUUAUAUGCCUACGAAGAUAUGAAGCCCAACUACGAAAGUGACUCUACAACACUGAACCCACGAAAGCUAAGGCACAAACUGGGAUUAGAUACCCCAUUAUGCUAAGCCCUAAACCCUGACAGUACUUAACCCAUGCUGUCCGCCCGGGAAUUACGAGCAUGAGCUUGAAACCCAAAGGACUUGGCGGUGCUUUAGAACCACCUAGAGGAGCCUGUCCUAUAACCGAUAACCCCCGUUUAACCUCACCUUUUUUAGCCUCCCCCGCCUAUAUACCGCCGUCGUCAGCUUACCCUCCGAGGGAUCAACAGUUAGCUCAAUUGGCACAGCCUAAAACGCCAGGUCGAGGUGUAGCGCAUGAAGAGGGAAGAGAUUGGCUACAUUCUCUCAAGAAGAGAAUACGAAUGACCCCGCCCACUGAAACGUGAAUCUGAAGGAGGAUUUAGCAGUAACCAGAAAACAAAGAGUUCCGUUGAAUUUGGCCCUGAAGCGCGCACACACCGCCCGUCACUCUCCCCUAAGCCUAAGAUAAUAAAACAUAUUAACACACACAUGCAAAAGGGGAGGCAAGUCGUAACAUGGUAAGUGUACCGGAAGGUGCCCUUGGAAAA
rnacentral:ncRNA from 1 species